ensembl:antisense Gm16036 predicted gene 16036
AACUGGAACAGGAGACUCAGCUUGACGAGAGGCGAGCGUGGGCUCUGGAGUCAGAACCAGGCCUCAGUCCUGCUGCGGCGGCCUGUCAGCUGCAUGCCCCAGGAUAACAAUACUGCUGAAAGGACACGGUUGCAAGAGAUGAAGAGGCACUUGUCGCAGUGAUGCGAGGUAUGUCCAAUUAGUCACCCAGGAGAAGGAACCCAGAGGAAUGAUUCUAAGUGAACGAAACCCUUGGACAAUGCGGGCAAUUCAGCAGUGAGCAAAUAUUAAUCACAGGGCAGAAAGGUGAAAAUCUCCAUUUCACGAAGCUCGAGCAUGUGACAGGAGUCAGUCUCGUGGAUCUAACCUUAUUAGGAUUAAACAUUCUAAAGUCAGCAAGAACUAAAUGUCAGAAAACCUUUGGGAAAGAGGGCAUUGAUUUUUUUUUUUAUGGACAAAAUCUUUUAUUCCAUCUCUGAUUACUUAAUUCUUUAUGAUGUGAGAUUCUCUCUAGACAUAAAAAAUGGGGACCACUAUACCAAGAAUUAAAGUAUGAAGACAAAUGUUACUCUCUACACAUUUAAAAAUAUCCACACAGAGCCACAAUGGAAAAGGAGCCUAAACUGUAAGCACUAUAACAAGCACCAGCAAAUUAGGAACAUAGAGUUAAAAGCUUCUGGUGUCUCAUUUGGAAGUACUUGUCAACAAUGAAUCACAUUAGGUUGAGUUGUCCUUCUGGCUAAGGCUUUUCACUUAGAUUCCACAAUGAUCCUAAGACAGAAGACCCAAGAGAGACUAAUUAUCUACAUCCAAAUCAUCUCCUAUAAGGACUUUAAGAAGCCACACAUCAAUUCUGUUUAAGAAAUUUCUCCAGGAACAAUCUUGUCCACUCUGACUGCAUAGCCAAGGAAAGGCCAUCAGACUGAAGCCAGAAACCAAUAUGCACGGCACACAGCUCUGUGGGAUCCACAUGCAGACGGGCCAUGCCUCAGUAAUAUUAAAGAUCUAGGCUACACAUUUUGGCACAAGUUACACUAUACAAGCCUGGAAGCUCAAUGUGGGUCAUGUUUACUUGAGCUAAGAAGGCAACUUCCCAUCCACUUUUAAAUUCCCAAGUUUAUUACCCCAUCCUU